GACGAACGCUGGCGGCGUGCCUAAUACAUGCAAGUAGAACGCACAGGAUGCACCGUAGUUUACUACACCGUAUUCUGUGAGUUGCGAACGGGUGAGUAACGCGUAGGUAACCUGCCUGGUAGCGGGGGAUAACUAUUGGAAACGAUAGCUAAUACCGUAUAAGAACAUUUACUGCAUGGUAGAUGUUUAAAAGGUGCAAGAGCAUCACUACCAGAUGGACCUGCGUUGUAUUAGCUAGUUGGUGAGGUAACGGCUCACCAAGGCAACGAUACAUAGCCGACCUGAGAGGGUGAUCGGCCACACUGGGACUGAGACACGGCCCAGGCUCCUACGGGAGGCAGCAGUAGGGAAUCUUCGGCAAUGGGGGGAACCCUGACCGAGCAACGCCGCGUGAGUGAAGAAGGUUUUCGGAUCGUAAAGCUCUGUUGUUAAGGAAGAACGUGUGUGAGAGUGGAAAGUUCACACAGUGACGGUACUUAACCAGAAAGGGACGGCUAACUACGUGCCAGCAGCCGCGGUAAUACGUAGGUCCCGAGCGUUGUCCGGAUUUAUUGGGCGUAAAGCGAGCGCAGGCGGUUAGAUAAGUCUGAAGUGAAAGGCAGUGGCUCAACCAUUGUAGGCUUUGGAAACUGUUUAACUUGAGUGCAGAAGGGGAGAGUGGAAUUCCAUGUGUAGCGGUGAAAUGCGUAGAUAUAUGGAGGAACACCGGUGGCGAAAGCGGCUCUCUGGUCUGUAACUGACGCUGAGGCUCGAAAGCGUGGGGAGCGAACAGG
rnacentral:rRNA from 1 species